AGGUAGAAAUUUUUAAGCCAAGUUAAGAAAUUUGGAAUUUAUCCUGUAGGCAAAGCCCAUGAAGAACUAUCAGCACACUUUAUGCAGGGUAGUAAUGUGAUCCAAUUUCCAUUUUUGAUAGGUCAUUCUGGCACCUGUUCACAGGGUAGGUUUUAAGAGGACAAGAUAAGUCAGAAAGGAAAAUAAGUGAAAGAUUUCGCUAGCAAAAUGCUGGCAAAAAAAAAGAGAAAUAUUUAGAAGGUAAAAUCAGAAUAACCUGGAGAUUGAUUGGACGAAGAAAAGGUAAACACGAAGACUAGGAUCUGCUUACCAGCUGGUGACUAUAGCAAGCAGGAGGCCAGGUGCAGCCAUUUGCCAUGAAGGUAAAGAGAGAGCUGAACUGGAGCAAUCUAGACUUCUGGGUGGCGAGGAUGCAAGUGCUUCCCACCGACUCACAGAUGCAACGGAAGUACAGAUGCCCAGACCCUACAACAGACCUACUGAAUCAGAGUCACCAGAGGUAGGACCUGGCCUCUGCAUAGUUAAAAAUAUUCCUGAAUGAUUCUGAAGCAUGGUCUACAGCCCAGCUAUUGAGAUGACUGCUGAAGUCGAUCCCAGCAUGACCAUUCUAAAGGAGAGACACAAUGUCUUAUCACCUGUGUUUUAUCUGAUUUUGAUUGGGAAUUCCAGUCUCUUAUUCUGUUGAAGACAUACUGAAACCAGAUAAAGGAUUUCAAGGCAAAGAACAGGAAACAGAUGACAUGAUCCUAUAUGAAGAUACAAAGGAAUAACAGAAAUUUUACUAGAACUAAUAAAGGACUUUAGCAAGAUUGCAAGAUCAAAAUACAAAAAUUAAUUGUAUCUCUAUAUGCUAGCAAUGAAUAAUCAGAAAUUGAAAUUAAGAAAACAAUUCCUUCACAAUAACAGCAAAGAAAAUAAAAUACUUAGAAAUAAACUUAACAGAAGAAAUGCAAGACUUACACACUGCAAAUGAUAAAACAUCAUUGAAAGAAAUUAAAGAGGACCUAAAUAAAUGGAAGGACAUUUCAUGUUCAUGCACUGGAAGAUUAAAUAUUGCCAAGAAGGCAUUUCUCUCCAUAUUGACCUAUAAAUUCAAUGUAAUCCCUAUCAAAAC
rnacentral:lncRNA from 1 species